rnacentral:rRNA from 1 species
UGUCCUUUUGAUUAUAAUUUAAGGUCUAAUCUGCCCAAUGAAAAUUUUAAAUGGCCGCGGUAUUUUGACCGUGCAAAGGUAGCAUAAUAAUUAGUUUCUUAAUUAGAAGCUGGAAUGAAAGAUUGAAUGAGAAAAUAACUGUCUCAAUUUAAUUUAAUUAGAAAUUUAUUUUUAAGUUAAAAAGCUUAAAUUUUAUUAAAAGACGAGAAGACCCUAUAGAGUUUUAUUUUAUUUAUUAAUAAGUAUUUAUGGAUUAAAAUUUAUAUAUUAAUAGAUAAAAUUUUAUUGGGGUGAUAAAAAAAUUAAUUUAACUUUUUUUAUAUUUAACCAUUAAUUAAUGAUUAAUUGAUCCAAAAUUUUUGAUUAAAAGAUUAAAUUACCUUAGGGAUAACAGCGUAAUUUUUUUUGAGAGUUCUAAUCGAAAAAAAAGAUUGCGACCUCGAUGUUGGAUUAAAAUAAAAAUUUGGUGUAGAAGCUAAAUGAUUAGGUCUGUUCGACCUUUAAAAUUUU